GUUUUAAUAUUUUAUAAAAAUAUUGGUUUUGUAAACCAAAGAUAGUGAAAACACUUUAAAACU
rnacentral:tRNA from 1 species